rnacentral:rRNA from 1 species
CUCUUCUCGUUGUUUUAUUUGAAGUAUGGCCUGCCCACUGACAUUUUUGAAGGGCCGCGGUAUUUUGACCGUGCAAAGGUAGCGUAAUCAUUAGUCCUUUAAUUGUGGACUUGUAUGAAUGGUUUGACGAGGUGCUGACUGUCUUUGUGUUUAGAAUUAUUAUUGAAUUUGGUGCUUGGGUAAAAAUACCUAGAUUUUGUUAUGGGACGAUAAGACCCUAUAGAGUUUUAUACACUUUUCCUGUUUGGGUUUGUUAAGGUUUGUUGGGCUUGUGUUAUUUUGUUGGGGUGAUGAGAGGAUAUAAAUAACUCUUCUUUUGAUUUGGUAUUUCAUUUAUUUAUGUUCUUGUGAUCCUUUAUUAUUGAUUGUAAGAUUAAAUUACC